UGCUGCGCACCCAGGGCAUCGAGCAUAGUGCCCGUUCCGGGUGGAUUCUGGGCUAACCCACACCAAGUUCGGCUAAAUAAUUAUGUAAUUUCUUGGGAAAAUACAAGAAGCAAAUGACGAAACGAGCCUCUACAACUAUAGUACUGAGCAGGACAGUGAAAACACAUAUUUUGAGGACAACGCGGGGGAGUGAAAACUUAGAGGAACUGCUUUUCUGUCAGCAGGAAAGCUAGCUAAGCUAACGCAGCUAAAGUGAUAGCGGCACACUUGUGAGCACUCAUUUUCUGAAUGAACAAUUACAACAUGAACAUAGCCCUGGAUUUUUAUUGUGGCGGUGCAUGCUUCUUCACAGAGGAAGACCAGAACUAACAGUGAUGAAUGUUCGGACAGCCUACUCUAUUAACUUGUUAAGGUUCUGGGCCUGGAAGAGUGAGCUCUGAAGUCACUGCCAUCACAGCCUGGUACUAGAUCCAACAUGAGAAAGGUCGGAACAUGAAGUAAUGCUGCAGGGACAUGCAGCGUGUGAUUUGGCUCUGCAAACCUUCAGAGAACAGCCCCAUGUGCAAAGGGAGUCUACUGCACUUUUGAAUCAUUUCUUGGUACAUCGUGUGUGCUCUCGUAGUGCAGUCUUCUUUUGAUGACCCCUUGAAGCUUCUACCUUGUGUGCAAGAUGAAGAUGUGCAUGAGGGAGAAAAAGUGUCGAUCAGAGAGAAAAAGUGUUAAGAGCUCAUUCCAAGCAUUCUGUGUGUGAAGUAUUUUAAUAAACAUUUAGCUAAUUU